CUUGCUUCUCUUGAGAGCGGCGGACGGGUGAGUAAUGCCUAGGAAUCUGCCUGGUAGUGGGGGAUAACGUUCGGAAACGGACGCUAAUACCGCAUACGUCCUACGGGAGAAAGCAGGGGACCUUCGGGCCUUGCGCUAUCAGAUGAGCCUAGGUCGGAUUAGCUAGUUGGUGGGGUAAUGGCUCACCAAGGCUACGAUCCGUAACUGGUCUGAGAGGAUGAUCAGUCACACUGGAACUGAGACACGGUCCAGACUCCUACGGGAGGCAGCAGUGGGGAAUAUUGGACAAUGGGCGAAAGCCUGAUCCAGCCAUGCCGCGUGUGUGAAGAAGGUCUUCGGAUUGUAAAGCACUUUAAGUUGGGAGGAAGGGUUGUAGAUUAAUACUCUGCAAUUUUGACGUUACCGACAGAAUAAGCACCGGCUAACUCUGUGCCAGCAGCCGCGGUAAUACAGAGGGUGCAAGCGUUAAUCGGAAUUACUGGGCGUAAAGCGCGCGUAGGUGGUUUGUUAAGUUGGAUGUGAAAUCCCCGGGCUCAACCUGGGAACUGCAUUCAAAACUGACUGACUAGAGUAUGGUAGAGGGUGGUGGAAUUUCCUGUGUAGCGGUGAAAAUGCGUAGAUAUAGGAAGGAACACCAGUGGCGAAGGCGACCACCUGGACUAAUACUGACACUGAAGUGCGAAAGCGUGGGGGAGCAAACAGGAUUAGAUACCCUGGUAGUCCACGCCGUAAACGAUGUCAACUAGCCGUUGGAAGCCUUGAGCUUUUAGUGGCGCAACUAACGCAUUAAGUUGGACCGCCUGGGGGAAGUACGGCCGCCAAGGGUUUA
rnacentral:rRNA from 1 species